AACGAACGCUGGCGGCAUGCCUAACACAUGCAAGUCGAACGAGACCUUCGGGUCUAGUGGCGCACGGGUGCGUAACGCGUGGGAACCUGCACUUAGGUUCGGAAUAACUCCCCGAAAGAGGUGCUAAUACCGGAUAAUGUCUUCGGACCAAAGAUUUCUCGCCUUUGGAUGGGCCCGCGUUGGAUUAGCUAGUUGGUAGGGUAAAAGCCUACCAAGGCGACGAUCCAUAGCUGGUCUGAGAGGAUGAUCAGCCACACUGGGACUGAGACACGGCCCAGACUCCUACGGGAGGCAGCAGUGGGGAAUAUUGGACAAUGGGCGAAAGCCUGAUCCAGCAAUGCCGCGUGAGUGAUGAAGGCCUUAGGGUUGUAAAGCUCUUUUACCCGGGAUGAUAAUGACAGUACCGGGAGAAUAAGCUCCGGCUAACUCCGUG
rnacentral:rRNA from 1 species